rnacentral:lncRNA from 10 species
GAGAAAAGCACGUUCUGAGGCAAAAUUUCAACAGACCUAUGUAAUUUACUGGUGAGGUUAGGGAAUUCACUUAAUCCAUAUACCCUCUGAUAAAAUGAUUAAAAAUAAUGACAUACCAUAGACUGAUGGCUGGAAGUAGUAACAGACCAGCAGACAGCAGGAAAGUGAAGCCAGGGUACCAAGCAACAGUGGCUGAGUAAAUUCCAUUAAAAGUAGAAACUGCAGUGACUCCUCCAAGUGUUUCUAAGAAAGCAAUACAAGCAAACAGGGUACCUGUUUGGAGUAGGGAUAGAGAGAGAGGAAAAAAAAAAGGCAGAAUUACAAAACAACAAACACAAACUAAUGGAGACAACUGUUACUCAUUGAAAACAGUAAACAUGAGGGCACUGCUGGGUGAAUGAAAUGAAAGUUAUUCCCUCAAAGUCCCUGAGAAGUCAGCAGCCCAUUCUGCAGCUGAGGAAACUAAGGGAAAGGUUCUCCUUGGACUUGAUGUGAGAGAUGUUGGAAACUCCAAAUAGCUGAGUUCCAGUGUCCACAGGGCAAAGCUAAAAAGACAGUGCAGCUGACUCUUUUGAUAACUGCAUGUCUCUCCUCUCUGCCACAGCCCCAGGCAAAGCCACACCUACCCCUGCUCUUCAGGAUGCUGUCUCCCACCCUCCAACCCCAUGCUAAUCUGUGACACCUGAAAGCACAGGAUGGCUCCUAACAAGCAAUGCUUCCUGCAAGAGCCUUUUGAAAGAGAUAGAGCCUCCCUCUGUUGCCCACACUGCUUUUGAACUCCUGGUCUCAAGUGAUCCUCCCACCUCGGCCUCCCAAAGUGCUGGGAUUACAGAUGUGAGCCACUGCACCUGGCGGAGAUGACUUUUUAAAAGCCUUUAUAAGGAUAUGAACAGAC